GUUUCAGGUGGAAAAAAAUUAUUCUUCAAUAUUCGUAAGAAUGAGAUUGGAUAAAGGACACAAAUGAAGUCCAGACCAAGUACAAAAACAUGAGCUCCUUCUCCUGGCUGCUCAACUAAUGCAGACUUAGCCUGAGGAUGAGAUAACUAUCUCAACAGCCAUUCCAUUGCUCAGACUUCAAAUUAUAGUAAUUAUGACAAUUUGUGCCAAUAGCCACGAGGUGGGAUUUUUGAUGUGGUUAAAAAUAACAUCUGUAAAACCCAAUAAAAAUUACAUUUUGCUAAUUUUCUGAUAAGAUACUGUUUUAACUAUACUGUGUCUUCUGCCGCUGCCAGUUUUCAAUUAGAGCAUUCCUUA
rnacentral:lncRNA from 1 species